rnacentral:rRNA from 1 species
AGAGUUUGAUCAUGGCUCAGAUUGAACGCUGGCGGCAGGCCUAACACAUGCAAGUCGAGCGGUAGCACAGAGAGCUUGCUCUCGGGUGACGAGCGGCGGACGGGUGAGUAAUGUCUGGGAAACUGCCUGAUGGAGGGGGAUAACUACUGGAAACGGUAGCUAAUACCGCAUAAUGUCGCAAGACCAAAGUGGGGGACCUUCGGGCCUCAUGCCAUCAGAUGUGCCCAGAUGGGAUUAGCUAGUAGGUGGGGUAACGGCUCACCUAGGCGACGAUCCCUAGCUGGUCUGAGAGGAUGACCAGCCACACUGGAACUGAGACACGGUCCAGACUCCUACGGGAGGCAGCAGUGGGGAAUAUUGCACAAUGGGCGCAAGCCUGAUGCAGCCAUGCCGCGUGUGUGAAGAAGGCCUUCGGGUUGUAAAGCACUUUCAGCGGGGAGGAAGGCGNCGAUUGACGUUACCCGCAGAAGAAGCACCGGCUAACUCCGUGCCAGCAGCCGCGGUAAUACGGAGGGUGCAAGCGUUAAUCGGAAUUACUGGGCGUAAAGCGCACGCAGGCGGUCUGUCAAGUCGGAUGUGAAAUCCCCGGGCUCAACCUGGGAACUGCAUUCGAAACUGGCAGGCUAGAGUCUUGUAGAGGGGGGUAGAAUUCCAGGUGUAGCGGUGAAAUGCGUAGAGAUCUGGAGGAAUACCGGUGGCGAAGGCGGCCCCCUGGACAAAGACUGACGCUCAGGUGCGAAAGCGUGGGGAGCAAACAGGAUUAGAUACCCUGGUAGUCCACGCCGUAAACGAUGUCGAUUUGGAGGUUGUGCCCUUGAGGCGUGGCUUCCGGAGCUAACGCGUUAAAUCGACCGCCUGGGGAGUACGGCCGCAAGGUUAAAACUCAAAUGAAUUGACGGGGGCCCGCACAAGCGGUGGAGCAUGUGGUUUAAUUCGAUGCAACGCGAAGAACCUUACCUGGUCUUGACAUCCACAGAACUUUCCAGAGAUGGAUNUUGGUGCCUUCGGGAACUGUGAGACAGGUGCUGCAUGGCUGUCGUCAGCUCGUGUUGUGAAAUGUUGGGUUAAGUCCCGCAACGAGCGCAACCCUUAUCCUUUGUUGCCAGCGGUCCGGCCGGGAACUCAAAGGAGACUGCCAGUGAUAAACUGGAGGAAGGUGGGGAUGACGUCAAGUCAUCAUGGCCCUUACGACCAGGGCUACACACGUGCUACAAUGGCAUAUACAAAGAGAAGCGACCUCGCGAGAGCAAGCGGACCUCAUAAAGUAUGUCGUAGUCCGGAUUGGAGUCUGCAACUCGACUCCAUGAAGUCGGAAUCGCUAGUAAUCGUAGAUCAGAAUGCUACGGUGAAUACGUUCCCGGGCCUUGUACACACCGCCCGUCACACCAUGGGAGUGGGUUGCAAAAGAAGUAGGUAGCUUAACCUUCGGGAGGGCGCUUACCACUUUGUGAUUCAUGACUGGGGUGAAGUCGUAACAAGGUAACCGUAGGGGAACCUGCGGUUG